GGUACUCCGACCACGCAUACGCAGCAGGCGGGACCCUCUCAGGGUCAAGCAGCGUGGGACUACUUGUGAGUGGACUUUGUUUUCAAAUCUUAUGCAUGGUUUUAUUAAUGAAAGAUUUAUGCAUAAUGUUUUAACGAUUUAUUGAAUAUAUUAUAUUCAUGGGUUGAAUUUGAAGUCUGUAUAGCGCUUUGGCAUAGUUGGGUAUUGAAAGUAUAUUUAUAUGGAUUUUGAGAAAUAUUAUGCAUGAUGUUUUAAAUGGUAUUUUUGGAUAUAUUAUUUAUUCAGUUGUUGAAAGGGAUAUUUUUAUGAGGCAUUGAAAAUAUAUUUUGGGUUUUAACAUAUUUGAGUAUCUUGAGUAUGAAUAUAUGGAUUUGAGGAUUUCUAUAUAUAUUUGGUUAUGUGCGAGGUACUUGGGUUGUUGAGAUGAGAUUGUGGAAAGUGGUGAGUAUAGAAUGUCAGUUUGGUGUGCUAUAAGCACUACCCUAUGUACCUCCCCUGAUUUGGAACUUGGAUACGGAUACUUGAGAUACUUGGAAGAAUCGGAACCCGGGGCAUCCUUGACGGGAUGUUGCUGUAGACCCUUGAUUGGGUAGUCUGCGCGCGUAGGACUGAUCACAGACGUACGGGUUUUGAGGUUAUCGACGGUACGUGCUGGCUGAGAGUUGGUCCCCCAGUUGGACGGCUCGUUCCCUAGUCACAUGGUGGAUUGAGGACUCAUCAUGAGGACUCUGCCAGGGUGACUAGUCAAACAAUCCCCCGGUUGGAUUGUUUCCCCGGUACAACUAGGUGAUGGUCAUAUUUAUAUUAUAUACAUAUCUCUUAUAUUAUAUAUUUAUAUCUACUCAUUCAUUCUUGUUUCUCGGUGUGGAUACUUCCUUGCCGGUCGUGCCAAUGGGUACGCUUUUGAGAGUUUGGUUGUGGGAUUUUUAAGUUUUGGAUGGUGGGUUUUAUAAAGCGUUCUUUAUGGAUGUUGGAGUUGGCAUCAAGUAUUGAUUUGUUUUUAUAUAUAUAUAUUAUAUAUAUAUAUAUAUAUAUACUUGAGUAUGAAGGUUUUGAGAUGCAUGGAAUUUCUUGCAUGGUUUUCUAAACGGUGGGGUUAUAUUACGUUGGUUUACACUGAACUGAAUUUAUUUUUGUCCACUCACAAUUUUCUGUUUUGCGCCCCCAGCCAGUAGUUGACUGAGCUCCGCAGCAGAGCCGGAUCGUGCGCUUCCGAGCCUUGAGCCUUCGUAGGACUCUUUCUUCAUGUUAUUUCCUUUGAACUCUGUUUUGUUGAAAUUGAAGUUCUUAGACAUGCUCUGUUAUCGCCCUG
rnacentral:lncRNA from 1 species